rnacentral:rRNA from 1 species
UACGUAGGGGGCAAGCGUUGCUCGGAAUCACUGGGCGUAAAGGGUGCGUAGGCGGGUCUUUAAGUCAGGGGUGAAAUCCUGGAGCUCAACUCCAGAACUGCCUUUGAUACUGAAGAUCUUGAGUUCGGGAGAGGUGAGUGGAACUGCGAGUGUAGAGGUGAAAUUCGUAGAUAUUCGCAAGAACACCAGUGGCGAAGGCGGCUCACUGGCCCGAUACUGACGCUGAGGCACGAAAGCGUGGGGAGCAAACAGGG